rnacentral:rRNA from 1 species
CCUACGGGAGGCAGCAGUGAGGAAUAUUGGUCAAUGGGCGCGAGCCUGAACCAGCCAAGUCGCGUGAGGGAAGACGGCCCUACGGGUUGUAAACCUCUUUUGCCGGGGAGCAACGGGCGCCACGUGUGGCGCCACUGAGAGUACCCGGAGAAAAAGCAUCGGCUAACUCCGUUCCAGCAGCCGCGGUAAUACGGGGGAUGCGAGCGUUAUCCGGAUUUGUUGGGUUAAGAGGGUGCGUAGGCGGAGCGUAAGGUCAGUGGUAAAAUUGGGGGGCCAAACCCCUUCCCGCCAUUGAAACUGGCGCUCUUGAGUGGAAGAGAAGUAGGCGGAAUGCGUGGUGUAGCGGUGAAAUGCAUAGAUAUCACGCAGAACCCCGAUUGCGAAGGCAGCAUGCCGGCUUCCUACUGACGCUGAAGCACGAAAGCGUGGGGAUCGAACAGGAUUAGAUACCCUAGUAGUC